rnacentral:rRNA from 1 species
UACGUAGGGGGCAAGCGUUGUCCGGAAUCAUUGGGCGUAAAGCGCGUGUAGGCGGUCCGGUAAGUCCGUUGUGAAAGUCGGGGGCUCAACCCUCGAAUGCCGGUGGAUACUGUCGGGCUAGAGUGCGGAAGAGGCGAGUGGAAUUCCUGGUGUAGCGGUGAAAUGCGCAGAUAUCAGGAGGAACACCUAUUGCGAAGGCAGCUCGCUGGGACGUAACUGACGCUGAGACGCGAAAGCGUGGGGAGCAAACAGG